rnacentral:lncRNA from 10 species
AAAGACCAGGGCAUUGGAUGCAUGCUUCACUCUUCUCCCUCAUCUUCUGGGAGAGAAAUGUUAGGAUUGUAUGCCUUCUCCCAGUCUUGCAGAACCAUGCUGGCUGCAGUAAGCUGUCUACCCCAUGUUUUUUGUUCUUAGCUGUCCCCAGGUGUUAAAACUAUGCUGUGGUUUCUUUAGCACUCUGAGUGAGGUAGAACAGAAACAGGUCUCUCAGCACCCCAAAAGACUGAGAAUGUUGGGUGCAUACUCCUUUCUUUCCCUCCAAGAGAGGAGUCAUGGGCUGAAGCAAUCUUUCUUGACACUGAACUGUGCCUGAGGAAGGAAGUGAUUUCACUGGGUAUUAAUGCAUUGUAGUGCUAUGUAAAUUUAAAGAUGCAUAAGCAGCAUUCGUUACCUUGGUAUAUCAAAAAAUGGUAAGAAAGGAGAUUUUUUAACUGUUUUCACCACAAAAAAUAAUUAUGUGAGGUCAUACAUAUGGUAAUUGGCUUGAUUUAGCCAUUCCACAAUGUGUACAUAUUUCAAAACAAUAUGUUGUGCCUGAUAAAUAUAUGCAAUUUUUAUUUGUCAACUUAAAAAUUAAUUAAUUGAAAAAAUAAAUACCAAAAAGCCACAAGAGGAAGGAGAUUAAGUCCACCCACACCUACCAUUCUGCUGUCUAAAGAUAAAGGAGGAGCCAGAGGAUGCUGGGCCUGCAGGGAAGGAGGAGACGCGUAUCAGCAUCCUGGCUGGGAACAGAACUCAAGCCUCUCGACUGGACCCUGCUUUCCUUUUUUCACUCACUUACAUGAAAAUGGGCUUGGGAUCAAUAAGAAUAAUUCUGCUCAAGCUUUCCAAUAGAAGAAAAACAGAGUAACCAGCCAUGUUCUGCAGCUCUCACAGCAAUCCUUCCCUCCAGCUGACUUGCUUCUCAUCUGCUACUUUUCAUGACGAUAACGUGCUCCCGCAUUUCAUGGUGAAAGCUAAAGUCUUUAAAGUGGUCCGCCAGUCACUACACCACAUGGCCUCCCUUUGCCCCUCGGACCUCUGGGUCUCCUCAAUUCUCCCACAGCACCAGUGGCCAGUGUGCCUUUCCUGAAGCAUGUCAGGCCUCUUCCCACUGAAAGCCUUUGAAUUCGCUGUCCCCAGAGCACUGUUCCCCCAGAAGUCUGCAUGGCUUAGUCCUUCUUUGUCUACUGAAUGUCAACCCUCUUGAUGCCCUAUUUUAAUUGUAAACUAUCUGCUUUUCACUUUUCCUCCUCCCUUAUUUUUCUCUACCUGACGUUCAGUACAUAUUAUAUGUCUUACUGUUUUCCUUAUAAGUUCAGAGGUUUCUAUCAUUUUGCUCACUGUCGUUCAAUGAAUGACUAAAUGAAUGAGUCAAUGAAUUUUAAAUUUAAUUACAUAUGCAGUGUUUGAAAGAAAGAAAGCAAGUUUCCUUUAAUGAAGGUAUCAUUAUGUGCAUAUUAUAGUUCUUUCGGCCUUACUCCCAAAUAAUUUUUUAAUCGGUAGCUCCAAGAUUGCUACAUUGAUUGAAAUUCUAAUUAUUUGGCUGUGAGCACAAAUGUGCUCAUAACUUUAUCAUGUUGACAUAAAUAUCAGUUAUUUGGUAAGACAAUGCUCCAGUCACCUCCUCCUGCUAUAAUGUCUAAUUAUCUAUCUUGGGCUCUCACAUUCCAUUGUGAAAAACUAACAUUAGCUCAUAUAUAAUAGUCAUUCAUAGUCUUUGCAUGUUUGGUAUGUGUGACCAAAUGCCCUUUAAUAGGUUCCAUACUAAUAUUACAUGAAUAUUAGUGAAUUAUCUAGUAUAAAUUUCUACAGGGCCUCUUAAGUAAAUAUGUAUUUAGUUGGUUAUGUUUUAUGCAUAUUUAGAAUUUGUUUGCAUUAUCCAACUUCACAUGUAUUAUUUACCUGGUGGGAAUAUUUAGCUUUCUGACACUCUACUUUAUCCUAUGUAUAAAUUCACAUAUGUUUUAUAAUAUUCAUAACACUAAUUCACCAAACGAUCUUGAUAUCUGGUAUAUUAUCAUUUUCUUAAUGAGAUGUUAUCUACAGCAAAGCAUUUACUUAAUCACUCACUUUUUGUUUGCUUGGUUUUGGGUGUUCCUCACUAAAAACAAGUAUCUGUUGAAAAAAAAGGAUGUCUCCAGAAAGUCAAUGAGUCCUAUAAAGAAAAUUGUAGCAGACAUUUUCUGAAGAAAAACUAAUGUGUCAAAGGCCUCCUUCAGGUUGGACCCCAGGCUUCUCCUACUUCCUGUCCAAGUGGAGCAAAUGCAGCUCAGCUGGUUCCUGAGUUGCUACUGCCCCACCCCUAUGUCCACGUGCUGGUCUAAGAAGAGGGCAGGGAUAUUGAGAAAGUAACAGAGAAGGAGCAACAGUGACCAUCUCUGCCCAAGUGUGAAGGCCUCCCUGGCCCUCCAAAGAGAUGUACAGACUUGAGGAGAUGCAAAGGUCCUUCUGGUUGUAGGACUUCAAUUAUGAUCUCUGAGGAUAUGCUUCAAAAUAAAGUCCCCCAUAUUGAAAAUCACUGAUCUCAUUUCAAAGGAUAAAAGCAAUCUUUACUAGAAAAGUCACACACACACACGCACACACACACAUACUGCCCCCCUGCCACACACACACAAUGGUAACUAUGGGUGGUGACAUAUGUGUUAAUUAAUGUUGUUGUAAUAAUUAUGCAAUGUAUGUGUAAUUAAUUCAUCCCAUUAUAUACCUUGAAUAUAUGCAAUUUUUAUUUAUUAAAUAUUUUCUUAAGAUCUCCUUAAAGUAUUUCUUUUAACUCUUUAACCAUUUCAGCAAUAUCAUCUUUUCUUUCCUUCAUGUUCUUAUUCUUUCCCAUUUAAUUUUACUUUUAAGAUAAUUUUUCUCUCUGUUUUUUCAGGAAUAACAAUCUUCAAGGUUCUCCCUUUUUCCUUUAAAGGCAGUGAUUGCAGAUAAAGAAGCUGAAAUUUUUGCUAUUAUGACACAAAACAGCAUGGCUUGUAAAGAAUUUUCCAGGGUCAUUUGCCUGGGAGGUGCCCUGUCCCCUCCAAUUUUGUACCAGAUCUGAAUUUUUUCUCUGUGACCUUGACAACAAUUCUUCACAUAUUCAUUCAAUACUUACUAACUUUCCUGGGUGUCAGAUAAGGCACUCAGGACACAGUGGUGACAAAAUAGAUAAUUAAGGGAAGCUUACACUGUAGUUGGGGGAAACAGUCCAUAAAUAAGUAAUUGAACAAUAAGCAAGAUACUGUCAGAAUGAAACCAGGAUCAUGAAGAAAAGGAAUCAGAAUGAUUUCAAAAAGCAUUUGAGGGCAGGGGAACCUGGGACUCUUUUAAUGGGUGCACCUAAAAGAGGGAAGACCUCACGAACAUGUAAAGUCUGAGCGGAGUCCUAGAAGAUAAGAUAAAGCAACCAUGAGAAGAUUUUCUCUGAGAGCAUGAGAAACAGGCUGCAGAGAACAUCAAGUACCUGCCUUCUUCAGACAUCUGUUUCCCCACAAAUAGCCAUCUAUUUUACCUGCAGAGAAUUUUGCAGUUAUUCUCCUUCCCUCCCCCUCUGCCUUUCCCUCUCCCUCUUCCUCUCUCUCCGUGUGUGUGUGUGUGUGUGUGUGUGUGUGUGUGUGUUUGUAUAUGUGUAACUCUAUGAAAAACACUUCAUCUGAGAAGCCAACGUGUAAGUUAAAUUUAAGGCAAAUACAGAGUAUAAUAAGAUUUGAGGGUGUAACAGAAGUAAAAUAACCUUAUUUGAUCAACAUUUUAUUUCUACCUUAAAUAAAAAGAAAAAUGUUUCUAUUUACAAUGAUUUGAUACACUUCUGUAAGUGCAUAAAAGCCUAUAAGCUAUCAAAGUUCAUUCUAUUAACUAAGGAGAAAUCUUAAGGGCUACAUCUGGAUAAUACCACAAAUUCAUAAAUUAGUAAUUUAUAAUUCCCCAUUGUAAAUGAUCACUCAGCUGAUACACAUGAGGACACCUGGCAAUCAAACUAAAUAUUCCCAUUUCCAGAUGCAAGACAUAACUAACUGGUUAAUUGCCUUUAAAUUUUUGGCCUUAUGGUUUAUUUUUUAAAAAUCAUUAGAAAAUAGAUAGAUGAUGAAAAAAAUGUGGUUCCAAAAGUUUUUCAUUUUUCUGAAAAAUACUUCCAUUAUCACUAUUUUUAGCAAAUUUAAUUUAAAAAUCUUUUUGUUUUUCUAAGCUUUGAGUUAGGGAAAAUUUUAAAAGACUAUAGGAGUUGGGGGAAUUUUAAUAUUAGCCAAAAGGGUUUGAAGCAGAGAACUAGGAUAAGAAAGGAAGUGAGGGGUGAGCAAAGGUCUCAAGCCAAAUGGGGCAGAAGAAAGAGCCCAGCUAGUUGUGACAAAUAGAGGGAGAGCAGCUGCUGACCAGCCUCAUGACCUUAUUUAUUACAUGGGGAGGAGAGUUGGCCAGUGAUGGAAAAGGAGGAAAACCAUAUCCUCCCUUGGGGACAAGGUAUAAAGAUCAAGGGAUCUGUGAAGUCUAGCAUGUCCCACAAUGAUGAUGAUGGUGAUAAUGACCACAGCUGUCCCUAGAGUGUGACACCAAAGCAAAGGGGAGGACAAACAUACUCGCACGGAAACAAGGAGCACUGUGCAGCAGACGGAAAGCCUUCAUUUGAUUUCAAGCUCUUUUGACAGGAGACCUGUGUCUAUUCCAGACUGGAAUUGUCUCUUUUCUCAUCACAUCCUUUGGAGAGAACAAAAGUUAGGGAAUAUCCAUGGGGUUUUUGUGAAGAUUCUUUGUACUGGGGAUGGGAGGUACUGAUGCAUUGGCAGCUCUUCACUUCCCCCAUGAAAAUAUACUGUAUCCCUCUCAAUAAAAAAAAAAAAAGCAGGGAGAAGAAAGUUGUGGUAGAUGUUAUUAUCAUAAUGCCAAAAUUAUUCUGAGGAAAAGAAAAACCCACUUCAGAAGUAUGCUCUUUCUUAACUGUACAAGGUAUCAGAGGAAGCAGAUGUUUUGUCUGUUACUCAAUCUCCUACUCUCCCUCUCUUUCUAUCCUUGCCAUCUUCCCCAUCACUUCUCCAUCAUAAAUUAAUGACAGCAUUGACUAAUUUUAUCAUAUUUUGAAUCAAUUUUCAUAGAUCCAUCUAUUCAUUUAAAUAAAUGUCUCUGAUAUACAUCAUCUUACAAACACCCCAAAAUGUAAAACCUUAAGCACAAGAAGAAAGGCACAUGGAGAAUUUGUGUUCCAGGA